UUAAAUUCUAUUUAAUUUAAUACCUCCCCAUUCACUUGAACUACUUUCUCUGUUUGUAAUGCCGCAUCUGAAGCAUACUUUAUUUGCAGAGGAAAAUUUCUAGACUUCUCCAUGUCAAUUUAUGUUAGUAAAUGAUUGUUGUUUCUUCGAUAAAAACUUUUGCAACCUCCAUCUUUGAAAUAAACUACAUAGCCAUUUUGUACAAGUUGUUAGAUAUUCAAUAAGUUUUGCUUCAAAUUUGACAGUAAUAG
rnacentral:lncRNA from 1 species